UGAUGAUUUAGUUAUAAAAUGUUUACAGUUAGAUUCACUGAACAUAAUGAUGUCACUUUACUAGGGCGGUCUGA
rnacentral:snoRNA from 1 species